UACGUAGGUGGCAAGCGUUGUCCGGAUUUACUGGGCGUAAAGCGUGUGCAGGCGGUUGUGCAAGACAGAUGUGAAAUCCCCGGGCUCAACCUGGGAACUGCAUUUGUGACUGCACAGCUUGAGUGCGGCAGAGGGGGAUGGAAUUCCGCGUGUAGCAGUGAAAUGCGUAGAUAUCUGGAGGAACACCGGUGGCGAAGGCGGCAUCCUGGACCGGUAUUGACGCUGAGGCGCGAAAGCCAGGGGAGCAAACGGG
rnacentral:rRNA from 1 species